AUUGAACGCUGGCGGCAGGCCUAACACAUGCAAGUCUAACGAGUGGCGGACGGGUGAGUAAUGUCUGGGAAACUGCCUGAUGGAGGGGGAUAACUACUGGAAACGGUAGCUAAUACCGCAUACGAUCGGAGGUGCCCAGAUGGGAUUAGCUAGUAGGUGGGGAAAAGGCGCACCUAGGCGAAGAUCCCUAGCUGGCCUGAGAUGAUGACCAGCCACACGGGAACUGAGAGACGGUCCAGAAGCCGACGGGAGGCAGCAGUGGGGAAUAGUGCACAAGGGGCGCAAGCCUGAUGCAGCCAUGCCGCGUGUAUGAAGAAGGUCUUCGGUUUGUAAAGUACUUUCAGCGGGGAGGCGUUACCCGCAGAAGAAGCACCGGCUAACUCCGUGCCAGCAGCCGCGGUAAUUC
rnacentral:rRNA from 1 species